GCCGACAGCCAACUGGCCUCCAUCAUACCACUCCAUCCAGAUAAAACAUUUUGGUUUUAUUUCGAAAACAUUUUUCCAAAAACAUACUAGCUCAUAAAGAGCACUUAAUACUUUUCAAUAUAGUUUCGGUCCCGUCCCGUUGUAGUAGUAUAGCAUGCUUUGGAAAAAUGUAAAUACAUAACCUAUGGUAUUUGGUGGCAUGGCAAUAAAAUCUUAUAAGCAAUCUACUAGGAAUAACUAAACAUGUAAAAACGCAUUUGAUAAAUACUUCAUAAAGAAAUAUCUCUAACAUGCAUCCCUAUCAUAAAGAAAUAUUUCUAACAUGCAUCCCUAUCAUAAAGAAAUAUCUCUAACAUGCAUCCCUAAAAUAUAGGUACUACAUGAUCAAUAAGUGUAACUUGCCUGGAUCAGGGAAGUUGUUGCGGUCGUCAACUCCCUGGCACUCGUCGCAAUCGCAAUCCGAAUAAUCUAACGCGAAGAACAAAACAAAAUAAAUGCAUAUUUCCAAUUAUAUAUCCAAAUCCAAAUAUAACUCCAAAUGAACUUCGGAUAAAUGAUGUAUCACAAGCAUACAAAAACAGAACCUAAACGUCAUCUAAGUAAUACCAUAGUAUUAACAAAUCAAGUUCUAAAGCCUACGGCGAAGGCUAGAGUGGGUAAGUCUGAAAUUCCGUAAUCUGCUACUGUUAACAGGUUGCAACUAGGGUUGACAGGUAGAAGGUUCUAUAGUACAGAACAUGGCAUGAAACAUAUGCUACAGUAUAUUACUAAGAUUUUACUAACUAACGCAACAGGUUUCAGGUCAAAUGGAUAAACAGAUCAAAAGUUACUGGCUUGCAAAGGUGGCUAAUCAGAUUCUGAGAGAUAAAGGGUACUAACUUCGACUGAAAAGCUACUGGUGCUAAACUAUUCCAAUGACAGAGAACUAAACAUAGCAAUCCAAGAAUAUGAUCUACUCUUCCAAAUGGCACUAGUUUCACGAACUAUGGAGAGAUGAGGCAGUAGCUAUGAACAGAUGACUAUGGCUACUCUAAAACAGAACAAUACAGGAUGUGAAAUUCUACCGUCGAGCUUCUAGUGAAGGUGAAGUUGAAAUGGUCCAACUAGGAAAUUGCUGUGAAGGGGUGUAUCUAACAUUCAAACUACAGAAGGAAUAACUAAAAUGAUGCUACGGAUAACAAGAAGAACUACUGCGAAUUAGGCUACCCGCUAAGAAUGGUGCUACAACUUCCUGCCGCGGCAGAGAUACGGCAGAAAAGCUUCUAAGAGUACCGUUUUGCGACGACGAUGCAAUGCACGAGAUGAACCAUCUACGGCUACUGUCUACAGAGAAAUUUUAGAGGAACAUACACUCUACACCAUGGUGAAAACCUAGAGCACAUCAUGAUCAUAGGGUUGCUAACAAUCGACGCUUGAACAGAGCUAACCGAAAAGCACGGGAGAUGAACAUGUUCAUACCCAAAUCUUUCUUGAGAUGAACGAAUCGAUGAAUCGGGGCUAGAGGACGAAGAUGAAGGGUUGGAGAAGAUUCCCGGUGUCGCGGGGAUCGCGCAGGCGGUGGCGGCUUGGCGAACGGGGCAGCGCAGCUCCGGAAAUUUCUCGCCAGAGUUUGGGCGGCGGCGGCGGUGG
rnacentral:lncRNA from 1 species